CAUCUACUCACUCCGUCCCGAAAUACUUGUUAAAGAAAUGGAUAAAAUUGAAUGUAUCUAUAACUAAAAUACGUCUAGAUUCAUCCAUUUUUUCAAUAAGUAUUUUCGGACGGAGGGAGUAAUUA
rfam:Triticum aestivum genome assembly, contig: Triticum_aestivum_CS42_TGACv1_scaffold_458210_5DS